UACGAAGGGGGCUAGCGUUGUUCGGAAUCACUGGGCGUAAAGGGCGCGUAGGCGGCCUGAUAAGUCGGGGGUGAAAGCCUGUGGCUCAACCACAGAAUUGCCUUCGAUACUGUUAGGCUUGAGACCGGAAGAGGUAAGUGGAACUGCGAGUGUAGAGGGUGAAAUUCGUAGAUAUUCGCAAGAACACCAGUGGCGAAGGCGGCUUACUGGUCCG
rnacentral:rRNA from 1 species